GGAUAUUGCAAAACUAACAUUUUUAUUGUUGCAUACCUGAAAACAAAAGUGGUGACAAAUAACUAGCCUGAGUUCAACAGAGGCUUUAAUUGGGCCAAACUCAAUGCCAUGUCACUUAAAGAAAACGGUUACAUAAAAUAGUUCUAUAAAUAUACUUUGAAUUGUAGAAAGUUUAAAUUUGAAAUUGACAAAAGCCAAUCCAAC
rnacentral:lncRNA from 1 species